AUGUUGUGGCCCAGUGGUAGAGCGCUUGCCUCACAUGCCUCACAUGUGUGAGUUACUGGGUUCAAUUCUCAGCACUGCAUA
rnacentral:tRNA from 1 species